GAUGAACGCUGGCGGCGUGCCUACACAUGCAAGUCGAGCGAUCUUCUUCGGAAGAGAGCGGCGGACGGGUGAGUAACGCGUGGGUAACCUGCCCUGUACACACGGAUAACAUACCGAAAGGUAUGCUAAUACGAGAUAAUAUGCUUUUAUCGCAUGGUAGAAGUAUCAAAGCUUUUGCGGUACAGGAUGGACCCGCGUCUGAUUAGCUGGUUGGUAAGGUAACGGCUUACCAAGGCGACGAUCAGUAGCCGACCUGAGAGGGUGAUCGGCCACAUUGGAACUGAGACACGGUCCAAACUCCUACGGGAGGCAGCAGUGGGGAAUAUUGCACAAUGGGCGAAAGCCUGAUGCAGCAACGCCGCGUGAGCGAUGAAGGCC
rnacentral:rRNA from 1 species